rnacentral:lncRNA from 1 species
ACAUGGAUGUGCACCCCCACUCCCUCCUUUUCUCGUACGAUGAUGCCAAUCUGAUAUUGGUGCCUUAAUUAGGCAUGAGGGAAGAGAGAGAGUCCUAGUAAAUUAGGACUCUAGCAUCUAAUGCAAUUUUGGUUCAAUUCAGGCUCAAUUCGAGCUUAAUUCAUUCCUGACUCAAUCCUCAUCUAAUUAUGAUUCAAAUUUGAAAUCCAAAUACCCAAUUA